CUUGGGGGGGGGUGUCCCUCAGCCUGAUUGCGAGAGGGUGCAGGCCAGGCCGAGGGAACCCACUGGUGCACC
rnacentral:pre_miRNA from 1 species